rnacentral:rRNA from 1 species
UAGGGAAUCUUCCGCAAUGGACGCAAGUCUGACGGAGCAACGCCGCGUGAGUGAAGAAGGAUUUCGGUUCGUAAAACUCUGUUGUUAGAGAAGAACAGCGCAUAGAGUAACUGUUAUGCGUGUGACGGUAUCUAACCAGAAAGCCACGGCUAACUACGUGCCAGCAGCCGCUGUAAUACGUAGGUGGCAAGCGUUGUCCGGAUUUAUUGGGCGUAAAGCGAGCGCAGGCGGUCAAUUAAGUCUGAUGUGAAAGCCCCCGGCUCAACCGGGGGGGGUCAUUGGAAACUGGUUGGCUGGAGUGCAGAAGAGGAGGGUGGAAUUCCAUGUGUAGCGGUGAAAUGCGUAGAUAUAUGGAGGAACACCGGUGGCGAAGGCGACUCUCUGGUCUGUAACUGACGCUGAGGUUCGAAAGCGUGGGUAGCAAACAGG